rnacentral:lncRNA from 1 species
UGAACACCAAUAAAAAAUAAAUUUAAAAAAAAGCUAGGCAGAGGCUAUCUUUCAGUAAAGUCACAUUACUGCUCAUCUUUUUGUGUCCCCAGUUAUUCUUUGGUCACUCCAAAGAUGUAGGCACCAUCCUAGAUACAGAGGUCAUCAAGAACACAAAAACACAAGUAGGUGGAAAUGACUAAACAUUAUUGGAAAUAUGAUCUAUGAACAAGAUGAGAGAAGAAGACAUGGCUUUGCUGAUAUCUGGGGCUCAAGACAGAAGGGGUUUGCAAAAAACUAUCCCACUGUGACCUGAUACUGCUUGGGACACAACAUGUAAGAGGUAAUUUAUCACUUCUGAAUGUGCAGAACAUUGGCAUUCUCCAUGAGAAGAGGUAACAGUGAAUAGUGGACAACAAUUUUGCAUCUCUCGAAUUCAGCUCUCAGCAUCCCUUUGCAACUGUUUUGUAGGUAGCAGUUUUGGCUACUUACUCAUGACACUAUCUCUCUGAUGAUAGAGGAAACCCUACUGUCCACACAUUGGUUUCUAGUACUGGCACUUUAUUCUACCUAGUCUC